rnacentral:lncRNA from 1 species
UGCUUGACAGCUAUUAGGCUCGAGUGCCAGACUCCCUGUUAGCUUGUCUGUUUGAUAACCCUUUUGUGUUGUGUGUGUUAGGAGAUGGAUGUAAGCCCAGCGAUUGGCAUUCCGUUUCCUGCUGUUGUUGUUUGUUUGUGGAGUCAGAUGUAAGACCAUUGAUUGGCUAUCUAUUUCCUGUUUCUUUUGUUUGGAGUUAGACGUAAGACCAGCCAUUGGCAGUCUGUUUCCAUUUGCGAAUUUCUU